rnacentral:rRNA from 1 species
UUGGUGGGGUAAUAGCCCACCAAGGCGACGACGGGUAGCCGGCCUGAGAGGGUGACCGGCCACACUGGGACUGAGACACGGCCCAGACUCCUACGGGAGGCAGCAGUGGGGAAUAUUGGACAAUGGGCGAAAGCCUGAUCCAGCAACGCCGCGUGAGGGAUGACGGCCUUCGGGUUGUAAACCGCUUUCAGUUCCGACGAAGCGAAAGUGACGGUAGGAACAGAAGAAGGACCGGCUAACUACGUGCCAGCAGCCGCGGUGAUACGUAGGGUCCGAGCGUUGUCCGGAAUUAUUGGGCGUAAAGGGCUUGUAGGCGGUCCGUCGCGUCAGAAGUGAAAACUCAGGGCUUAACCCUGAGCCUGCUUUUGAUACGGGCGGACUAGAGGGAUGCAGGGGAGGACGGAAUUCCUGGUGGAGCGGUGGAAUGCGCAGAUAUCAGGAGGAACACCGGUGGCGAAGGCGGUUCUCUGGGCAUUACCUGACGCUGAGAAGCGAAAGCGUGGGGAGCAAACAGGCUUAGAUACCCUGGUAGUCCACGCCGUAAACGGUGGGCACUAGGUGUGGGGGACAUUCCACGUUCUCCGUGCCGAAGCUAACGCAUUAAGUGCCCCGCCUGGGGAGUACGG